rnacentral:rRNA from 1 species
GACGGAGGAUGCAAGCGUUAUCCGGAAUGAUUGGGCGUAAAGCGUCCGCAGGUGGCAGUUCAAGUCUGCUGUCAAAGACCGGGGCUUAACUUCGGAAAGGCAGUGGAAACUGAACAGCUAGAGUAUGGUAGGGGCAGAGGGAAUUCCUGGUGUAGCGGUGAAAUGCGUAGAGAUCAGGAAGAACAUCGGUGGCGAAGGCAGCCCCCUGGGCUAACACUGACGCUCAGGCACGAAAGCGUGGGGAGCAAACAGG